ACUUCCACCCCAACGAGACGACGCUGGCCUGGCUCCAGCACACGUACCCCACACUGCCCCCUGCCCAGCGCCCGCUCGAGUGCACCCUGCGCCCCGGGGAGGUCCUGUACUUCCCUGACCGCUGGUGGCACGCGACACUCAACCUGGACACCAGUGUCUUCAUCUCCACCUUCCUUGGGUAGAGCCAGGAAGGACAAGGAUGUGUCACCAUCAUCCUGGACACAGCAGGAAUUCCUGCCACCCUCAGGGAAAGGCAACUGGUUUGGGGACCAACUGCCUGAGAAAGUUCUGGUUUUUACUGGUCUUUUUCCUCCCCCUUGGAUUAAAGUUGUUCUACUGUA